UAUUGUAGCAAUACGACGAAAAGUUCAGUGGCGAUCGGGUGCGUAACACGUGGGCAAUCUGCCUUAAAGUGUGGGAUAGCUCGGCGAAAGCCGAAUUAAUACCGCAUGUGGCUACUGGAGACAUCUUCGGGACGCUAAAGGUGGCGCAAGCUACCGCUUUUUGAGGAGCCCGCGGCCUAUCAGCUUGUUGGUGAGGUAACGGCUCACCAAGGCGUUGACGGGUAGCUGGUCUGAGAGGACGACCAGCCACACUGGGACUGAGACACGGCCCAGACACCUACGGGUGGCAGCAGUCGAGAAUUUUUGACAAUGGGGGAAACCCUGAUCGAGCGACGCCGCGUGGAGGAUGAAGGUCUUCGGGUUGUAAACUCCUGUCAUUUGGGAACAAGGCGUAUUUAUUAACUGUAAGUACGUUGAUAGUACCAGAAGAGGAAGAGACGGCUAACUCUGUGCCAGCAGCCGCGGUAAUACAGAGGUCUCAAGCGUUGUUCGGAUUCAUUGGGCGUAAAGGGUGUGUAGGUGGCGCGCUAAGUCGGGUGUGAAAUUUCGGAGCUUAACUCCGAAACUGCAUUCGAUACUGGCGUGCUUGAGGACUGGAGAGGAGACUGGAAUUCACGGUGUAGCA
rnacentral:rRNA from 1 species